UACGGAGGGAGCUAGCGUUGUUCGGAAUUACUGGGCGUAAAGCGCGCGUAGGCGGCUUUGUAAGUUAGAGGUGAAAGCCCGGAGCUCAACUCCGGAACUGCCUUUAAGACUGCAUCGCUUGAAUCCGGGAGAGGUGAGUGGAAUUCCGAGUGUAGAGGUGAAAUUCGUAGAUAUUCGGAAGAACACCAGUGGCGAAGGCGGCUCACUGGACCGGUAUUGACGCUGAGGUGCGAAAGCGUGGGGAUCAAACAGG
rnacentral:rRNA from 1 species